GAGGCAGCAGUAGGGAAUCUUCCGCAAUGGACGAAAGUCUGACGGAGCAACGCCGCGUGAGUGAUGAAGGCCUUCGGGUCGUAAAACUCUGUUGUUAGGGAAGAACAAGUAUCGGAGUAACUGCCGGUACCUUGACGGUACCUAACCAGAAAGCCACGGCUAACUACGUGCCAGCAGCCGCGG
rnacentral:rRNA from 1 species